rnacentral:rRNA from 1 species
AAUGAACGUUGGCGGCGUGGAUUAGGCAUGCAAGUCGCACGGGCCGCAAGGCCAGUGGCGGAAGGGUGAGUAAUGCGACGGUAACCAACCCCAGGAAUGGGUAUAGCCGCGGGAAACUGCGGGUAAUCCCCAGCGAUGUGCAGGAUCGGCAUCGAUUCUUCACCAAAGUUCCGGCGUCCUGGGACGGGCCGUUGUGGUAUUAGCUAGUUGGCGGGGUAACGGCCCACCAAGGCUUCGAUGCCUACCGGGCGUGCGAGCGUGGCCCGGCACACUGGGACUGAGACACUGCCCAGACUCCUACGGGAGGCUGCAGUCGAGAAUCUUCGGCAAUGGGCGCAAGCCUGACCGAGCGACGCCGCGUGGAGGAUG